rnacentral:rRNA from 1 species
AUUGAACGCUGGCGGCAGGCCUAACACAUGCAAGUCGAGCGGCUGCAGGGAGCUUGCUCCUGGAUUCAGCGGCGGACGGGUGAGUAAUGCCUAGGAAUCUGCCUGGUAGUGGGGGAUAACGUCCGGAAACGGGCGCUAAUACCGCAUACGUCCUGAGGGAGAAAGUGGGGGAUCUUCGGACCUCACGCUCUCAGAUGAGCCUAGGUCGGAUUAGCUAGUUGGUGGGGUAAAGGCCUACCAAGGCGACGAUCCGUAACUGGUCUGAGAGGAUGAUCAGUCACACUGGAACUGAGACACGGUCCAGACUCCUACGGGAGGCAGCAGUGGGGAAUAUUGGACAAUGGGCGAAAGCCUGAUCCAGCCAUGCCGCGUGUGUGAAGAAGGUCUUCGGAUUGUAAAGCACUUUAAGUUGGGAGGAAGGGCAGUAAGUUAAUACCUUGCUGUUUUGACGUUACCAACAGAAUAAGCACCGGCUAACUUCGUG